GACGAACGCUGGCGGCGUGCCUAAUACAUGCAAGUCGAACGCAGUGGGGACGGGUGAGUAACACGUGGGUAACCUCCCAUCAGAGGGGAUAACACUUGGAAACAGGUGCUAAACCGAUACUGAUGGAUGGACCCGCGGUGCAUUAGCUAGUUGGUGAGGUAACGGCUCACCAAGGCCACGAUGCAUAGGUGGCCUUAGAGGAGGAUCGGCCACAAUGGGACUGAGACACGGCCCAGACUCCUACGGGAGGCAGCAGUAGGUAAUCUUCGGCAAUGGACGAAAGUCUGAACGAGCCACGCCGCGUGUGUGAAGAAGGUUUUCGGAUUGUAAAACGCUGUUGGUAGAGAAGCGGUAUCUACCCAGAAAGCCCCGGCUAACUACGUGCCAGCCGCCGCGGUAAUUC
rnacentral:rRNA from 1 species